rnacentral:rRNA from 1 species
UACGGAGGUGGCAAGCGUUGCUCGGAAUCACUGGGCGUAAAGCGUGCGCAGGCGGUGAUGUAAGACAGGUGUGAAAUCCCCGGGCUUAACCUGGGAACUGCAUUUGUGACUGCAUCGCUGGAGUGCGGCAGAGGGGGAUGGAAUUCCGCGUGUAGCAGUGAAAUGCGUAGAUAUGCGGAGGAACACCGAUGGCGAAGGCAAUCCCCUGGGCCUGCACUGACGCUCAUGCACGAAAGCGUGGGGAGCAAACAGG